rnacentral:rRNA from 1 species
AUUGAACGCUGGCGGCAGGCCUAACACAUGCAAGUCGAGCGGAUGAAGGGAGCUUGCUCCUGGAUUCAGCGGCGGACGGGUGAGUAAUGCCUAGGAAUCUGCCUGGCAGUGGGGGAUAACGUCCGGAAACGGGCGCUAAUACCGCAUACGUCCUGAGGGAGAAAGUGGGGGAUCUUCGGACCUCACGCUAUCAGAUGAGCCUAGGUCGGAUUAGCUAGUUGGUGGGGUAAAGGCCUACCAAGGCGACGAUCCGUAACUGGUCUGAGAGGAUGAUCAGUCACACUGGAACUGAGACACGGUCCAGACUCCUACGGGAGGCAGCAGUGGGGAAUAUUGGACAAUGGGCGCAAGCCUGAUCCAGCCAUGCCGCGUGUGUGAAGAAGGUCUUCGGAUUGUAAAGCACUUUAAGUUGGGAGGAAGGGCAGUAAGUUAAUACCUUGCUGUUUUGACGUUACCAACAGAAUAAGCACCGGCUAACUUCGUG